UUAUUUUCGUCUCCAGAUUAUCAGUAACCCGAAUUUCUCUAUAUUUCUAAGCUUUGACCAAAGACUCAGAUUUUUUGUUAAACAUAUAUAUUUGUUAUCUUAUUAUUAAGAGGAUCGCAGAAGAGAAUAAUAAUAGAAAUUUAUUUAUUGAAGAAGAGAAGAGAACCUUCAAACUACUCAUUCGCCAGGGCUGACAACAACUCCGUUGAGUUUGGUUCUUUGUAUUUCUAUUUUCUUUGUAUGUCUUUAUGAAGUUAGAACAUGGUCCAUGCUUAUUACUCCAAAUAUUGUUAUAGUUUUACAUUUGCAAAUAAUAAUUUUCUCAUUAUACCCACGACCUAAAAAAAUCCUCAAUUAUGGCUAACCUCCGGGUUACUGGGAUCAUUACUUAUAUCCUGGCCAUUAGAAUUUACCAAAAAAAAGAUACCUUUUUGUAUCAUUUACUGUGGUGGGACCUUCCAUCCACUUUCUGUAGGUUUAGCUAAAUCUUGGAAGGAAAACAUUAAGAAAACUAAGCAGUUACUAGGGAGAAGCUUUUAUCUAAAUAGGAGGAAGAACUAGAGAAUAUAAUCAUUCCCUGAGAUGUUUAAGAAUUCUAAUCUUUAAGUGACACGGGUACUCGGGUUGUGAAAUCUUGGGAAGUCGAUAUGAAAGAGUAAAAAGUCUGGAAAGCCUCCUCUUUUAUAUGGAAAAGCUGGUAUACCCGAAGGUUUUUGUCCUACAACAUUGAAUCAAAGGUUAAAUUUUAAAGCUCGAAGGUCAGUCAUUCUCAUCGGACCAAUAAGAGGAAUAUUGUGAUACUUAAUCUGUACUUACAUUACUCGACAAGAGCAUUACUUCUACUAAAUUAUGGAAGAACUAUGAGGUCCUUGGUCUUUCCUGGCGUCUAGAAUGAAGGUCCUUUGAUUUACUCUUGAGAUCACAAUAUUGUGUGUUAUUUACCAUGCGUCAAAAUAGGCACAUGUUUGCAAAAAAACUGAAUUUGGUUUAGUGCUUAUAUAUUAAAAGAAUUAAACCGCUAUAUUUGUUAAAUAGAAGAUUAGUACAAGCAACUCUUAUAAUAUUUUCAAAACUAAAAGAUUUCAGCUAAUAUGAGCUUUAAGCUACAUGAUUCUGCUUUCAAGCUACCAUUGUGCUAUUUGGCAUAUAUUCUUAAUUUUAUUUUUCAUCAUACUGCAUUACAAUUGAGAGUAAUAGUUCUCAUUGCUUUUCUUCACUAUUUUUUUUCGAGUAAGAGUUCUACUAAUAAUAAAGUUGGUGCAACUGACAUUUACAUGCAAGAUGUUUGGUCAUGAUGGAGAUCACUCGAUUUGACUCAUGUAUUUAGGAAAUGUAAAGUCGAGGGAAAUUCUAGAGCACCAAUACAGAUACCAGCAACCUUGAUGUUCAUGGAUUGAUAAUGAACAGCCUUGCAAUGACAAGAAGCAAGCUGAAAGGAUACAUUGGCCUUGCCUUGAUUUUCUUAAAGAGCAUUGUUCUUAUGAUAUUUUUUUGCACAUUUUGUAUAGAAAAGAACUACGUUGGUUUGUACAGUAACUCUUUUUAUUAUGGUUACUUAUUUUCAUAUCGGGAUAGACAACUAUGUCUGCACAUGAAUUUGCCAGAAAUUUUGCCAGACAGCUCAAAGCAGCUGAAUUUAUUCUGUGAAUGGUGGAAGUUGUGUAA